GCAGUUUCAGCCUGGUCAAGCUUAACAAGAGAAGUUGCAAAUCCCCUACGGACUUCAGAUAUUCUUACAUUUGAAGGUCGACCUCAUCUGUUCCUGUGUGUGUCUAGAGACGUAACCCAAAAGCAAGGAUACGAUUUUUCUAAUUGCAGAUAUGCUCUCUCCAGACCUAGACUGAGGGCUUGUAGGAGCUUUCUUCUUUCCACGCCUGGAUUACAUGUGUUUACUUGGGCCUAGCUUCUGUUUUUUCCCACUAUGUUCUGCGCAGGACUAGUAUGUGGCAAGAUAGGGUGCCACAGUCUGUUUACAUAAGGUUCCCUAGCUCUCCUUUGCACUGACUCUGCUUGUAUUCCCCUCACAGUAUCUCUCAUACUCCAUUUCUCUUGGGUGACUGCAGUUCUCCUCAGAAUAAAAUUAAUUUUUUGAAUAUAUCUUCUUUAGGU
rnacentral:lncRNA from 1 species